AUGAGCAAGUCACUUGGAUUCUCUGAGACUGUUUCUUCCACUACAAAAAUAGGCAGAGGUUGAACUAAAACUCCAAGAUCCCUUCCAGUUUUAGAAUUCUCUGAAGCCAGUAUCUCCAUGUUCACCAGGUGUGGAAAUACCUCACCAUACUGGAAAAACUUGGGGUCCUUACUUUUUUAAAAAGUUAAUUUCAUUUAAAUAAAGAUAAUAAGAAUUUACAGGUUCCAAGUCCUCCCUGGUAUGGCAGAGAAUGUUAAAACACAAGCAGCCCUGGCUGAGUGGGUCAGGUGGUUGGUGCACUGUCCUGUACACUAAAAGGUCGUGCUGGCUCAAUUCCUGGUCAGGGCACAUACCUAGAUUGGGUGUUCCGUCCUGGGCCAGGUUGCUUGUAGGAGGGAAGGCAACCAUUCAAUACUUCUCCCUCACAUCCAUGUUUGUUUCUCUCUCUCUUUCUCUCCCCCCUCCCCCUUCUCUAAAAGGAAUAAACAUAUCCUCGGGCAAGGAUUAAACACACACACACACACGUAAACUCUUAUCAUUUAGUGUAACCUUGAAACUGAGUGAGAGAGAUGUAAUGAAACCAGAUUUUAAAACACUCGAAUUCAGAGAAUGCAAAGAAACAACUGAGUAAGCAGAGUAACUUGUUUCAAGUGGCACAUUUAGGAAAAAAAACAAAAUAAGCUGUUCAGUCAAUGGAGCAAAGAAGUAAAGUUCUUAAUCAUGUCUCCAGAAAUAAAUGAGCUCCAAUGUGGAAAGGCAGGUCUGGGUCUCCAUCUCUCCCUCGCUCCGAGGCAUUUGGACACCC